AAAUUGAAGAGUUUGAUCAUGGCUCAGAUUGAACGCUGGCGGCAGGCCUAACACAUGCAAGUCGAACGGUAACAGGAAGCAGCUUGCUGCUUUGCUGACGAGUGGCGGACGGGUGAGUAAUGUCUGGGAAACUGCCUGAUGGAGGGGGAUAACUACUGGAAACGGUAGCUAAUACCGCAUAAUGUCGCAAGACCAAAGAGGGGGACCUUCGGGCCU
rnacentral:rRNA from 1 species